rnacentral:misc_RNA from 1 species
AGGCAUUCGCCUUCCGCAGCUGCCAACUGCCAUGACUUGUUCAUAAAUCCCUCAUCCUGAAGAUCAAGUUCCUCCCUGCAACUCCCAUGUCUUCUAUCAUCAUCAUUAUCAUUAUUAUUUUUUAUAAUUAGAAUAAGAGAAAUGAUCAUGAUAACGGAGCAAACACGUCGUCGUCGAGCACGACGAUGAGGAGGCGCUGUAGGAGGUGGUCAAGGUCAAGGUCCACGUGCACGUCCACCCACUGUAAUUGAGUUGUCAACCGCGUUAAUUAAUCCAAGGGCGGCUUUAACAUCCAUCCACGUGUCUUAUUAUUCGCUGUUAAAAUUCUUAAUAUGAUACAACCACCUCCUUCACGAUCGCCGGUGUUCCGUUAUCCUUCAAUUUUUCUCUUCUACGUUCUCGCCGCCUGCAAUUUUGGCAGUUGGCUUCGUCGGAGAAACCAACGACCAGUCUCUAUAUUCUAAAGGCGGCUCAUUGCCUUCAAUACGUUGUCGUUUCUCCGGUGACAGCCAAGGCCAACUUCCUCUCUUACAAAUUUAUCCAGCGGCUGAUUAAUCUAUUUUCUUUUAUUCUGUACUGCAUAUUCAUAUAAUAUUUCAUUGUUUUGAUCCUUAGCAUCAUAUGAUGGCGGAACAGACUCCGGCUACUGGAAUGUAUCUUUAUGGCGACCUUGACUUGAAGAUCAUUGAAGCUCGGCGGUUGCCCAACAUGGAUUUGUUGUCGGAGCGUAUUCGCCGGUGUUUUAGUCCCUUUGACAAUUGCCGGAAGCCUUUCGUUAGAGAUAACAAGCCCCCACACCAGCAUAGAAUUAUUACCAGUGACCCUUACGUUACGGUUUGCCUUGCGGGAGCCACGGUGGCUCGUACGCGCGUCAUUUCCAACUCUCAAAAUCCUUUCUGGAACGAGCAUUUCAACAUUCCUGUCGCUCACCCGACCAGCCACGUGGACUUUUACGUCAAAGACAACGACGUAUUUGGCGCCGAUUUGAUUGGUGUUGCAACCGUUCCGGUUGAGAAGAUCAUUUCGGGUGAAAAAAUCAGUGAUUGGUUUCCGAUAAUCGGUCCUUACGGGAAACCGCCGAAGCCAGAUUGUGCAGUUCGUAUUGAAAUAAAAUUCAUGCAAUGCAAAGAGAAUCCGUUGUACAAAUACGGCAUCGCCGCGAGUCCGAAUGAUUUCGGCGUUCAAAACUGCUAUUUCCCGGUCCGGCACGGCAGCUCCAUUACCCUUUAUCAAGACGCGCAUGUCCCGGACAAUUUUUUGCCGGACAUUGAAUUGGAGAACGGUGACGUAUUUAAGCACGAGAAAUGCUGGGAGGAUAUUUGUCACGCGAUACUAGAGGCGCAUCAUUUGGUGUAUAUUGUUGGUUGGUCGAUUUAUCAUAAGGUGAAAUUAGUGAGGGAGCCCACAAAGCCGUUGCCUAGCGGUGGGAAUUUGAUUCUGGGGGAUUUGCUGAAGUACAAAUCGCAAGAAGGUGUUAGAGUUCUGUUGCUGGUUUG